rnacentral:rRNA from 1 species
CACGGGUGAGUAACACGUAUCCAACCUGCCGUCUACUCUUGGACAGCCUUCUGAAAGGAAGAUUAAUUACAAGAUGGCAUCAUGAGUCCGCAUGUUCACAUGAUUAAAGGUAUUCCGGUAGACGAUGGGGAUGCGUUCCAUUAGAUAGUAGGCGGGGUAACGGCCCACCUAGUCUUCGAUGGAUAGGGGUUCUGAGAGGAAGGUCCCCCACAUUGGAACUGAGACACGGUCCAA